rnacentral:rRNA from 1 species
CAACGUGGGGAACCGUGCCCCAUAGUCUGGGAUACCACUUGGAAACAGGUGCUAAUACCGGAUAAGAAAGCGGAUCGCAUGAUCAGCUUUUAAAAGGCGGCGUAAGCUGUCGCUAUGGGAUGGCCCCGCGGUGCAUUAGCUAGUUGGUAAGGUAAAGGCUUACCAAGGCGAUGAUGCAUAGCCGAGUUGAGAGACUGAUCGGCCACAUUGGGACUGAGACACGGCCCAAACUCCUACGGGAGGCAGCAGUC